rnacentral:lncRNA from 1 species
GCAGAAUAUUUUAUAUGAAAAAACACCAGCCAAGAAGGAGGAAGCCUUUUCAGAUGCAUAAAGAAGGGCUGUGGUUGCAAGAGGUGGACAAGAAAUACACACUGCAGCAGACGGAAUAAGCAAGRACCAAAGAGCUGCAGGCUGCAAUUGCAUGGGAAAGCAUUGCUGGAGGUCACGAGGUUUGCAGCUCUUCUGUAGGAGCCAUCCCUCUCACCGCGAUCCCGAGCCCCUUCUGGGAAAACAGACAAUUUUGCCACGCAAAGUCCACUUGAACUAAUUCUGCACAGCACCAAAGCAUGCCUGGCAAUCCUUAUUUCAUGAGCUCCCUGUCUACUCUCUGAUGGGAACCAUUGCAUCGGAUUGGUCACUUUUUGUGCUAGCUGCUCUCCUGCUGAAAGAGCUUCAAAUCCACUUGGAGAUCAUCCCUGGGCUUGCUCCAGUGUGCAGGAGAUCUGCAGGAAGAAGUCUGAGUGUCCCAAACGCCCCAGGUGCAGGGAGCACAUCCUACUGCUUCCCCUCGGGCAGCCUCUGCAACGUCACCGAGGCAUCUACUCCACUGUCCCGUGCCUGCGACAUCCUAAAGUGAGUCCAAAAAUACAAGAGAGAGAACACCUAGGAGAAGCGUGUGAAUCCUCCUUGGUGUCCAUGGACCAAGAGUUGGGCAGGGCUGUUUCUUAGAUACCUUAGAAAGAUCUGCCAGUGGCAGUUUCCCCUCAGAAAGACUCCUUGUUAACAUUGCCUUGGGAUCAUGGUCAUAAGAUCAAGAACAGUUUGGAGUAUUUUACUGAAUGAAAUGCUGAGGCAUCUGUCUCUCUUCAGGGCACAUUCCCAUGAUGUACCACAGCCAGUUUUGCCGUUGGCAUGACAAGUUUCUCCCCGGAUAGUAACUAUGACAACAGGAUUUCACUGUGUUUUCUUCAGUGGGAAGAACCCUUUUAUUACCGUG